rnacentral:rRNA from 1 species
GAUGAACGCUGGCGGCGUGCCUAAUACAUGCAAGUCGAGCGAACAGAUGAGGAGCUUGCUCCUCUGACGUUAGCGGCGGACGGGUGAGUAACACGUGGAUAACCUACCUAUAAGACUGGGAUAACUUCGGGAAACCGGAGCUAAUACCGGAUAAUAUAUUGAACCGCAUGGUUCAAUAGUGAAAGACGGUUUUGCUGUCACUUAUAGAUGGAUCCGCGCCGCAUUAGCUAGUUGGUAAGGUAACGGGUUACCAAGGCAACGAUGCGUAGCCGACCUGAGAGGGUGCUCGGCGACGCUGGAAUUGGGACAUGGUCCGGACUCCUACGGGAGGCAGCCGUCGGGAACCUUCCGGAAUGGGCGCAGUCCUGAAGGAGCAACGCCGCGUGAGUGAUUAAGGCCGUCGGAUCGUAAAACUCUGUUAUUAGGGAAGAACAAAUGUGUAAGUCACUAUGCACGUCUUGACGGUAACUCAUCAGAAAGGCACGGCUAACUACGUG